rnacentral:snRNA from 1 species
AUCGCUUCAUGGCCUUUUGGCGAAGAUCCAGUAUGGGAUCUAUUCUUA